UUGAUUUAAGUUCCUUAUCUCUGAUUAAGUUCUCUCAUGUGUUUUUUCUAAUAUCGAAACGAAUACAAACGAACGAAAUUAAACGAGAAAACAAUUUUAAGCACGUAUAGAGAACGUGUAGUCAAAUCUUUCGACUAUCCAAUGCCCCUUACUCUUCGAAAGGAAUGGAAUGAAGAUGGAAUUUUGCUUUCGGCAUGUGAUCCUGAUAUAUACUUUAUAUUUCGGAAACGCUACUUUCGACCUACAGAUCAGAGGACUCACUUUUUCUUUUCUCUACUUUAGGCCCAGUACUCAGGUAAACUGGCCCAAAAAUAAUAUUGUACUAUAUUCAGCAAUUCUUGGUGGCCAAGAUACGGUCUCACAAGGCAUCCCAAAAUACAAAUGUAAACAUGGGAAUUGUAAUUAAUAUUGAAAUAAAUGAUUCGAUUCAAUGUAAACAAAUACUACUGUCCAAAGACUUCGCCCAAUAUUUUGCCACCAACAAUGUGCCUCUUUUGUAUAUGACGUUUUUUGUUUUUCGUGGCCUGAAUACCUGAAAUUUUAAAGGCGACUUAUCUUGGAACACUGUUUUCCGAAAAAGACCCGGAUCCGAUUAUUCUGUACAGCCAAAUGACAAAAUUUAUAAUUUUUGAUUAAAUCUUAAUAAAAAAAAAAUGUAAAGAAAUGUGUAGUUAGUAUCAUGUUGAACAAAAUCUUU